rnacentral:rRNA from 2 species
UACGGAGGGUGCAAGCGUUAUCCGGAUUUACUGGGUUUAAAGGGUGCGUAGGUGGGCCUGUAAGUCAGUGGUGAAAUCUUCAAGCUUAACUUGGAAACUGCCAUUGAUACUAUAGGUCUUGAAUUAUCUGGAGGUAAGCGGAAUAUGUCAUGUAGCGGUGAAAUGCUUAGAGAUGACAUAGAACACCCAUUGCGAAGGCAGCUUACUACGGAUUGAUUGACACUGAGGCACGAAAGCGUGGGGAUCAAACAGG